rnacentral:lncRNA from 12 species
CCCCCCCCCCCCCCCCCCCCCCCCCCCCCCCCCCCCCCCCCCCCCCCCCCCCCCCCCCCCCCCCCCCCCCACCGAACGGAAGCGAAAAACGACAAAAACCGAAAAAAUCUCGGCCAAAAAACCACCCCAAAUCCAACUUUUUUCAACCCAAACUGAAAACCGGCAGGAAAACGGAAUUCCGGCGAUUUUCCCCCCCCAAUUUCCCGGGAAUUCGCCCCAAAAAUCCGGCGGGUUUUGGUUUGUUGGUUUUUUUUUUGGAAGUCCAAGCGUCGUUGCCGGGAAAUUCCCGGGAGAAUCCGGACGGACACCGGGAGCUGCCUCGUGUGUUUGCUAUUAAUCAAUUAAUGAGUAAUUAAUUAACGGCUUGGAUCAAGCGGAGCCUUCGGAUCGGGGGUGUUUUUUUUUGGGGAGAAAAGAGCGGGAAUGAGUUAAAUAAACAUGCACGGGGUGGGGGAGGGGCUUGGCUCGGCGCCGGGAGCUGCGGUGGCUUCGGUGGUGGUGGCGUCAUCGGUGUCAUCGUCAUUGGUGUCAUCGUCAUCAAUGUCAUUGUCAUCGUCGUUUGUCGUCAUUAGUCAUUGUCAUUGAUGGGCACUGUCACAGUUGGGCAUCGUCAUUGUUGGGCAUCAUCGUCAUCAUUGUCGUUGUCAUUGCUGUCAUUGUCACCGUUGUUCAAUUGUCAUUGAUGGGCACUGUCACAGUUGGGCAUCGUCAUUGUUGGGCAUCAUCGUCAUCAUUGUCGUUGUCAUUGCUGUCAUUGUCACCGUUGUUCAUCAUUAUCGUUGGGCAUUGUCAUCGUUGGGCAUUGUCAUCGUUGGGCAUUGUCAUUGUUAUCAUGGUCAUCAUUGGUCGUCGUCAUUGUUGGGCAUUGUCAUCACAAUGCUCCACUCGCAAUUGAUGAGAUGCAGGGAACUCAUCUACAUAUUCAUUUACAUAAACACAAAUU